CAGUCGCCGCGGUAAAACGUAGGUGGCAAGCGUUGUCCGGAAUUAUUGGGCGUAAAGGGCUCGCAGGCGGUUUCUUAAGUCUGAUGUGAAAGCCCCCGGCUCAACCGGGGAGGGUCAUUGGAAACUGGGAAACUUGAGUGCAGAAGAGGAGAGUGGAAUUCCACGUGUAGCGGUGAAAUGCGUAGAGAUGUGGAGGAACACCAGUGGCGAAGGCGACUCUCUGGUCUGUAACUGACGCUGAGGAGCGAAAGCGUGGGGAGCGAACAGGAUUAGAUACCCCCGUAGUCCCUGUCUCUUAUAA
rnacentral:rRNA from 1 species